rnacentral:rRNA from 1 species
GACGAACGCUGGCGGCGCGCUUAACACAUGCAAGUCGAACGGAAAGGCCUGCUUUCCCUUGUGGAUUGCGGGUACUCGAGUGGCGAACGGGUGAGUAACACGUGAGUGAUCUGCCCCCAACUUGGGUAUAAGCCUGGGAAACUGGGUCUAAUUCCCGAUAGGACUGCAGGGUGGUGCCUGUGGUGGCAAACGAUUUUCUAGUGGUUGGGGAUGAGCUCGCGGCCUAUCAGCUUGUUGGUGGGGUAAUUGCCUACCAAGGCGGCGACGGGUAGCCGGCCUGGGAGGGUGGACGGCCACAUUGGGACUGAGAUACGGCCCAGACUCCUACGGGAGGCAGCAGUGGGGAAUAUUGCACAAUGGGCGGAAGCCUGAUGCAGCGACGCCGCGUGGGGGAUGACGGCCUUCGGGUUGUAAACUCCUUUCGACCGCGAGGAAGCCACCUGGUUGGAAGGGUGGUGACGGUAGUGGUAGAAGAAGCACCGGCUAACUACGUG